rnacentral:rRNA from 1 species
GUCCACGCCCUAAACGAUGUCAACUAGCUGUUGGGCCCUAUAUGGGCUUAGUAGCGCAGCUAACGCGAUAAGUUGACCGCCUGGGGAGUACGGUCGCAAGAUUAAACUCAAAGGAAUUGACGGGGCCCGCACAAGCGGUGGAGCAUGUGGUUUAAUUCGAUGCAACGCGAAGAACCUUACCUACCCUUGACAUCCUCGGAACUUGUCAGAGAUGACUUGGUGCCUUCGGGAACCGAGAGACAGGUGCUGCAUGGCUGUCGU